rnacentral:rRNA from 1 species
GGGUUGUGAGGUUAAGCGACUAAGCGUACACGGUGGAUGCCCUGGCAGUCAGAGGCGAUGAAGGGCGUGCUAAUCUGCGAUAAGCGCCGGUAAGGUGAUAUGAACCGUUAUAACCGGCGAUACCCGAAUGGGGAAACCCAGUGUGUUUCGACACACUAUCAUUAACUGAAUCCAUAGGUUAAUGAGGCGAACCGGGGGAACUGAAACAUCUAAGUACCCCGAGGAAAAGAAAUCAACCGAGAUUCCCCCAGUAGCGGCGAGCGAACGGGGAGGAGCCCAGAGCCUGAAUCAGCAUGUGUGUUAGUGGAAGCGUCUGGAAAGGCGCGCGAUACAGGGUGACAGCCCCGUACACAAAAGCGCAUGUGCUGUGAGCUCGAUGAGUAGGGCGGGACACGUGGUAUCCUGUCUGAAUAUGGGGGGACCAUCCUCCAAGGCUAAAUACUCCUGACUGACCGAUAGUGAACCAGUACCGUGAGGGAAAGGCGAAAAGAACCCCGGCGAGGGGAGUGAAAAAGAACCUGAAACCGUGUACGUACAAGCAGUGGGAGCACCCUUUGGGGUGUGACUGCGUACCUUUUGUAUAAUGGGUCAGCGACUUAUAUUCUGUAGCAAGGUUAACCGAAUAGGGGAGCCGGAGGGAAACCGAGUCUUAAUUGGGCGUUAAGUUGCAGGGUAUAGACCCGAAACCCGGUGAUCUAGCCAUGGGCAGGUUGAAGGUUGGGUAACACUAACUGGAGGACCGAACCGACUAAUGUUGAAAAAUUAGCGGAUGACCUGUGGCUGGGGGUGAAAGGCCAAUCAAACCGGGAGAUAGCUGGUUCUCCCCGAAAGCUAUUUAGGUAGCGCCUCGUGAAUUCAUCUCCGGGGGUAGAGCACUGUUUCGGCUAGGGGGCCAUCCCGGCUUACCAACCCGAUGCAAACUGCGAAUACCGGAGAAUGUUAUCACGGGAGACACACGGCGGGUGCUAACGUCCGUCGUGAAGAGGGAAACAACCCAGACCGCCAGCUAAGGUCCCAAAGUCAUGGUUAAGUGGGAAACGAUGUGGGAAGGCCCAGACAGCCAGGAUGUUGGCUUAGAAGCAGCCAUCAUUUAAAGAAAGCGUAAUAGCUCACUGGUCGAGUCGGCCUGCGCGGAAGAUGUAACGGGGCUAAACCAUGCACCGAAGCUGCGGCAGCGACGCUGAUGCGUUGUUGGGUAGGGGAGCGUUCUGUAAGCCUGCGAAGGUGGCCUGUGAGGGUUGCUGGAGGUAUCAGAAGUGCGAAUGCUGACAUAAGUAACGAUAAAGCGGGUGAAAAGCCCGCUCGCCGGAAGACCAAGGGUUCCUGUCCAACGUUAAUCGGGGCAGGGUGAGUCGACCCCUAAGGCGAGGCCGAAAGGCGUAGUCGAUGGGAAACGGGUUAAUAUUCCCGUACUUGGUGUUACUGCGAAGGGGGGACGGAGAAGGCUAUGUUGGCCGGGCGACGGUUGUCCCGGUUUAAGCGUGUAGGUGUGUGUUCCAGGUAAAUCCGGUUCACUUUAACACUGAGGCGUGAUGACGAGGCACUACGGUGCUGAAGCAACAAAUGCCCUGCUUCCAGGAAAAGCCUCUAAGCAUCAGGUAACAUCAAAUCGUACCCCAAACCGACACAGGUGAUCAGGUAGAGAAUACCAAGGCGCUUGAGAGAACUCGGGUGAAGGAACUAGGCAAAAUGGUGCCGUAACUUCGGGAGAAGGCACGCUGACAUGUAGGUGAAGUGAUUUACUCAUGGAGCUGAAGUCAGUCGAAGAUACCAGCUGGCUGCAACUGUUUAUUAAAAACACAGCACUGUGCAAACACGAAAGUGGACGUAUACGGUGUGACGCCUGCCCGGUGCCGGAAGGUUAAUUGAUGGGGUCAGCGCAAGCGAAGCUCCUGAUCGAAGCCCCGGUAAACGGCGGCCGUAACUAUAACGGUCCUAAGGUAGCGAAAUUCCUUGUCGGGUAAGUUCCGACCUGCACGAAUGGCGUAAUGAUGGCCAGGCUGUCUCCACCCGAGACUCAGUGAAAUUGAACUCGCUGUGAAGAUGCAGUGUACCCGCGGCAAGACGGAAAGACCCCGUGAACCUUUACUAUAGCUUGACACUGAACAUUGAGCCUUGAUGUGUAGGAUAGGUGGGAGGCUUUGAAGUGUGGACGCCAGUCUGCAUGGAGCCGGCCUUGAAAUACCACCCUUUAAUGUUUGAUGUUCUAACGUGGACCCGUGAUCCGGGUUGCGGACAGUGUCUGGUGGGUAGUUUGACUGGGGCGGUCUCCUCCUAAAGAGUAACGGAGGAGCACGAAGGUUGGCUAAUCCUGGUCGGACAUCAGGAGGUUAGUGCAAUGGCAUAAGCCAGCUUGACUGCGAGCGUGACGGCGCGAGCAGGUGCGAAAGCAGGUCAUAGUGAUCCGGUGGUUCUGAAUGGAAGGGCCAUCGCUCAACGGAUAAAAGGUACUCCGGGGAUAACAGGCUGAUACCGCCCAAGAGUUCAUAUCGACGGCGGUGUUUGGCACCUCGAUGUCGGCUCAUCACAUCCUGGGGCUGAAGUAGGUCCCAAGGGUAUGGCUGUUCGCCAUUUAAAGUGGUACGCGAGCUGGGUUUAGAACGUCGUGAGACAGUUCGGUCCCUAUCUGCCGUGGGCGCUGGAGAACUGAGGGGGGCUGCUCCUAGUACGAGAGGACCGGAGUGGACGCAUCACUGGUGUUCGGGUUGUCAUGCCAAUGGCACUGCCCGGUAGCUAAAUGCGGAAGAGAUAAGUGCUGAAAGCAUCUAAGCACGAAACUUGCCCCGAGAUGAGUUCUCCCUGAGACUUUAAGUCUCCUGAAGGAACGUUGAAGACGACGACGUUGAUAGGCCGGGUGUGUAAGCGCAGCGAUGCGUUGAGCUAACCGGUACUAAUGAACCGUGAGGCUUAACCUUACAACGCCGAAG